UUGGGUUGGUUUAUUCCUGGCGCUUGGGGUAAUUCCAACCUGGAUGGUGUCCAGAAGAGGACAGGAGGCUUUGCACGUCCGGGGGGAUGACUUGGAUAAGAAGGUGGAGCCGCACAUCCUCCAGCCUAGAGGUUGCUGGGACGGUGGCAGCCGCUGCGGGGUCUGUGCUGCUGUCGAUGGCGAGUGAGAGGAGCGGGUGGCCGCGUCGCUGGAGCUCGCCUGGAAGUCUUCAGAAAGUUGGUGUGUGAUCCAUUUCAAAUUCUGGAGAAGAAUUAACCCUGGACAUGGUUUAUAUUUUAGAAUCCUGAAAGAGGGAAAGGAAUUUAGGUGUUGUGUGUGACUGCAGGAGACUGGCCAGUGCACAAGACAUCCUUUCCAGAACACUAGGCAAGCUUCAGUCUGUGCCAAG